rnacentral:rRNA from 1 species
UUUAAAUUGAGAGUUUGAUCCUGGCUCAGGAUGAACGCUGGUGGCGUGCCUAAUACAUGCAAGUCGUACGCUAGCCGCUGAAUUGAUCCUUCGGGUGAAGUGAGGCAAUGACUAGAGUGGCGAACUGGUGAGUAACACGUAAGAAACCUGCCCUUUAGUGGGGGAUAACAUUUGGAAACAGAUGCUAAUACCGCGUAACAACAAAUCACACAUGUGAUCUGUUUGAAAGGUCCUUUUGGAUCGCUAGAGGAUG